UACGAAGGGGGCUAGCGUUGCUCGGAAUUACUGGGCGUAAAGCGCACGUAGGUGGCUUCUUAAGUCGGGGGUGAAAUCCUGGAGCUCAACUCCAGAACUGCCUUCGAUACUGGGAAGCUCGAGUUCGGGAGAGGUGAGUGGAACUGCGAGUGUAGAGGUGAAAUGCGCAGAUAUCAGGAGGAACACCGGUGGCGAAGGCGGUUCUCUGGGCAUUACCUGACGCUGAGGAGCGAAAGUGUGGGGAGCGAACAGG
rnacentral:rRNA from 1 species